rnacentral:tRNA from 3 species
GCGGAAGUAGUUCAGUGGUAGAACACCACCUUGCCAAGGUGGGGGUCGCGGGUUCGAAUCCCGUCUUCCGCUUCA